rnacentral:rRNA from 1 species
CCAUGCGGUUAUACAAAAGAUGUAAAUGAAUUUUAUUGAUUAUAGUUAAAUUAUGUUUAUUUAUUGGACAAGAAAAUUUUAAGUGAAAUUUUAUUUUUUUUUAUAUAUAAUAUAUUAAUAGUGGUUGAAGCUGGUAAGUUCUUGUAUUAAACUAGGAUUAGAUACCCUAUUAUAAGGAAUUUAGUGUUGUUGUCAGAGUAGUAAUAGUUAAGAUCUUGAAACUCAAAAAAUUUGGCGGUAUUUUAGUCUAUUUAGAGGAACCUGUUAAAUAAUCGAUAGCCCACGAUGGACCUAACUUAAUUUUGUUUUAUUUCAAUUUGUAUACCGCCGUUUUUGAAAAUUUUAUUAGGUUAAUAAUUUUCAGAGGUUUUGAUAAAAAAGUAAAUCAGGUCAAGGUGCAGUUUAUGAUUAAGUAUUAUAUGGGUUACAAUAAAUUUAUUUAGGCGGAUUAUUUGGUGAAAUUUAAAUAUGAAGAUGGAUUUAAAAGUAAAUUUUUAAAGAUAAAAGGAUUGAUUUUAGCUCUAGAAUAUGCACACAUCGCCCGUCGCUCUUGUUAUAUUUAGUUAAAGUUUAUGUAUAUAAGAUAAGUCGUAACAUAGUAGGAUGUAUCGGAAGAUGUAUCUAGAAUGAC